rnacentral:rRNA from 1 species
CAGUAGCCGCGGUAAUACAGAGGGUGCGAGCGUUAAUCGGAUUUACUGGGCGUAAAGCGUGCGUAGGCGGCUUCUUAAGUCGGAUGUGAAAUCCCUGAGCUUAACUUAGGAAUUGCAUUCGAUACUGGGAAGCUAGAGUAUGGGAGAGGAUGGUAGAAUUCCAGGUGUAGCGGUGAAAUGCGUAGAGAUCUGGAGGAAUACCGAUGGCGAAGGCAGCCAUCUGGCCUAAUACUGACGCUAAGGUACGAAAGCAUGGGGAGCAAACAGGAUUAGAUACCCCGAUAGUCCCUGUCUCUUAUAA